UACGUAGGGGGCUAGCGUUGUCCGGAAUCAUUGGGCGUAAAGCGCGUGUAGGCGGUUCGGUAAGUCCGCUGUGAAAGUCGGGGGCUCAACCCUCGGAUGCCGGUGGAUACUGUCGGGCUAGAGUACGGAAGAGGCGAGUGGAAUUCCUGGUGUAGCGGUGAAAUGCGCAGAUAUCAGGAGGAACACCAAUUGCGAAGGCAGCUCGCUGGGACGUUACUGACGCUGAGACGCGAAAGCGUGGGGAGCGAACAGG
rnacentral:rRNA from 1 species